CUCUCUCUAACUUCUCUCUAACCUCCCUAAACCCCUCCCAAGUCUAGGGAACCUCCCUAUCACGAGAAGAAAGCCCCGGAGCGCCCGACGGCUCCGAGAAGAAAAGCUUUCGGCUCGGAAACGCUGCUCCAGCGAAGCCCGGUUUUUAAUAAAAACCCACUGUUUUGUCGAGGAAAAUUGUUUUGAGAUAACGAAGUGCUGUCUGAGUUCGGAAUCACCACCUAAUCAGGUGUUGAUAUGAAGUGACAUUACACUGAGAGAUUUAAAGAUAUGUAGAUCACUAGUGUAAAUAAUUGUACAUCCGAGCCCAAAGGCAAGGGCAAGGCGUGAUGACACGACGUACACUCUAUCUCUCUCUCUUUCACUGAUAUGUUUUGGGGACACUCUGAUGAUUUAAAUAAGUUGUAAUGAAUCGUUGGUUUGAAA